AUUAUGUUCACUCCGGGGCCUGAAAAGCCCCAUAAUUCAAUUUGCGAUUAUUGUACAUCCGCUAAGUCAGGCAAAAUGUAAAACAAUCAUUACUAUGGAGAAGUCAGCAUGCAAGUCUCUGCGCUGCUCCGUGACGCUCAAGAAGUAUGAAUGCCCUGACUUGUGCAGAGGCCAUAUUACCGUAAACGCUGAACGACCAAUGCAGACAUUGUAUUGAUUGACCGACCGCAGUGCCUUUACCCUCAACUCUUGUAACAAUGCGGUAUCUGCAGUAUCUGGUUGAUGAUCUACUUGGUGGGGACGAUCAGUGAUGGUCCUGUACUAUGAAUCAUUUUCACCUGUGGAGUUUCAUGACCUGCCCCCCGAGGUGAAGCAGUGGGAUGGACCGAGACAUCGAUAAUUAGGGUCAUUAGCCAGGGCUGGGAAGCUUCCCACUGGACACAGAUGUCAGUUCAUCAUCUAGUUUUGAUUUACAUUUGAUUGAGUUGUCAGCUAACAUGAAUUCAACAUGAAAUUAACAAAAAAUGUCACAAGGUCAUUGGAUUUAGGUUAAAAGUUGAGAGAAAAAAAUACUAAAUUCCAUUUACGUUGAUGACUUUUUUUCAAAUUCAAUCAGUUUUCCAUGUUGAUUCAACGUCGUCAUAUAAAAUGUUGGGGUUGAAAUGACAUGGAAACAAUAUUGAUUCAACCAGUUUUUGCCCAGUGGGUUGUGGUUUGACUGUCAACAAUAAGUGUCAUCACAAACAGGUUUGUCGAGGACCUAUUGUGAAAAAGGCUUUCUCUGGCAGGUGUAGAUUUAAUUAUGUUCCCACUAGAAACGAGGCAAGCCUGCUAACUGACUUAACGUGUACAUCCCGUCAUGCCAAUACAGAAUAGGAGAAAUCCUGUCGCUUCUCUUAUUUUUCACAUUUAUAAAACUGAGCUCAUUUAGGCCCCUUCAGUUGAUUAUUCUGUCUGUAAAUUAUUGUAAUAUGGUGCAAAAAUAUCUACUUAAUAUGAAGCCUAUAUACUGGAGAUGAUAAAGCAAUGCCACGAAUGGAGAAAAGUCAAGUCAUGUGAAUAUGCCCAACAGCGCCCCUACACUCCUGGGAAGUAUCCUACAUGGUGUUUUGGUUUGUUUACAUCUAGGUAUAUCAAGUGCGCACUGUCAUGCAAUCACAACACCACAUAUGUCAGUAUGGCCUUCAUUCACAUAACAGUCAUAAGAUUCAUAUUAAUAUAAGUAAGUAGCACGCAUAGUCCUUUUAUAAACGCGAACUUAUUAUAAACAUGACUAUAGUCUACAGUAACUUCAUUUAAUCAGUAACAACUUGUUUGUAAACAACUACUUUUUUUGUUAUUUUUCUGUCUCGUUUUUAUUAUUGGGCUCUGUUGUGUUUGAUGUUUUAUACCGCCAUGAGGAAAUAAGUAGUGACCAUGCCAAUAUUAAGUGCAAGUGCGUAACAUCCUCCUCGCUCCUAUUUACGCACAUCCAUCUCUUGCGCAGCAUCCUAUUCCCAAUCCCCGCUUCACGCUCCAUCUCGUCGCCAACAGUUUUAGCCUGCCUAACAUUCCUCUAUCCAAAACAAAUAGCAUGAAGCCGAUUACUUAAUAUAGGCUAUGUUUCUGAGGGUUUCCAGUAUCUGCGGCGUAGGCUACAAUUCCCACCGGAUUCCAUUGCAUUUGUCACAAUAGCACUCGCUCUGACGCAGACAAAUGUAACUAUUUACCUGUCGCUCAUAAUUGAGAAUGGUAAUUGUAUUCGAUUAGUUUACUACCUCCACUAUAUGUAUCGUUUACUAAAUUGGCAUUUUCAUAUUUAUUUGAAAGUGAAGAGCAUUUUAAGAGGACCAUAUCCACAAUCACUAUAUUAUAGGCUAUAUCAGAUUUGUUUAUAGAUGUUUGUGAUAACACAUUGUAUUAGUUAAAUGUGUCGUUACAACAUCGUUUGCAUUAGGCUACUGAAAUUGGCAACACGUUUCUGUAAUUCCUAGAAUAAAAUUAUGAUUUAGCCUGAUAGCUUACCUCAACGUAUGUCUUCUUUCCUCCCUUGGCGACCCUUUCGGUUAGAUCAUGUUUUCAAUAACUGGAUAGCACCUGUUUCCAUGAAGCACCCCUCACAUUAUUACAGUAUCCCCAUCGAUUUUUCCAUAGCGCAACACGAGAAGCCCGCCCCUGACACUCCCCCUUCUGCUGGUUGGCCAGGCCUUGGUGAAUUAUUUUGCCUACGUCGGAAUCACAUGUGGUUGACGCAUGUUUACAAACAUUGGAUGAGAUCACAUGGUGAUGGGACCCAGUUUACAGUAAACCAUUCGACAUUAAGCAUAAAUUAGUGCUCGUCUGCUUGUAGGCCUAAAAACCGAAAUGAGUUACCUCUGGUUCUUUCGGACAUUCCUAUGGGGAAAGUUGAUGGCGUUUUGGGAUAAACACCGAAAAUAAAGUAUAAGGGUAACAAAGGCUUAGGAGAUCUUAUACGUUUUGUUCUAUGAAAUAAUAUCAGUCAGUCAACAUUACCUGUAUGAAUUAUUAAGCCUUUAUGUGCUUGUUUUGAUUAAACAAAUGCUUCAAAAAGUUAGCUGAUUUAAGAUUAUCUCAUAGAACUAAAAACGUCUAAGAUCUCCUAAGCAUGUGUUUACAAUAGACCGUAUUUUCGGUGUUCAUCAAAAAACCGUCAGAAACCUCAUUAAUUGACCAACUAGCCAUGCAGGACUUAGUGCCUACAAAAAUACUGCAUUACUAUAGCUCGCCAGACUGUAGUCCUAAAAAAACGGAAAUGAAACCUCUGGUUCGUUCCGCCAUUACUAAGGCAUUGUGAAUGCAGAAAAUAAGGUAUGAGGUUAAGAGAUCUUAUACAUUUUGUUCUAUAUUAUUAUUAUUAUUAUUAUUAUUAUUAUUAUAACAGUCAGUUAAAACAUGACCUGUAUGAAUUUUGAAGCCAUUAUGUGCUUAUUUUGAUUACGUAAAUGCUUCAAAAUUCACAAAAAGUGAUGUUAGCCGAUGAAUAUUAUCUCAGAGAACAAAACGUAUAGGUCUACAAAGCCUGUGUUUACAACAGACCUUCUUUUCCGGAUUCAUCCAAAAACCCUACAAAAUCCCAUUAAUUUCCGUUAGUGCCUACAAAAAGACGGCAUUACUAUUGCUCUCUAUACUAGUAGUUGUAAAGUAUUAUAUAAUCCCUUCGGCCUCAAAAUAAACAUUCACAUGGCUAUACUAUUGCCUUUAACAUGUUUAUAAUAGGUCUAUGGGAUUCUAUAAGCUUAUAGUAGGAUGGUAUAAGGUACAAAAGCAUUUUUCAGAUAUUAAAAUGUAUUACAUAAGUAUUACACAAUGUCUAAUGUUCUUGGAGAAAGUGGUACUUGAUGUUCUGUUCCCUCCUGUUUUGGUAUGCGGCAGCGGGAGAAAAAUUUGUGCCAGCCAGGGAGUUCGAUUUAGCUCGCCCGGGUUUCCCCAUAGAGAGGAGCUUACCCAGAGUUAAAACGGAUUGUAUUCGUUUUGAAACCGAGCUGCCUUCCGGGAAUGAGCCGGAUGCCCCUUUGAAUGCCGACGGCGAAGUCGGCGGGGGAAAAAAGUGUAUGUCAAGCAUAUGGAGUAAUGAGUUUGGAUUCAGUAUUUUCACGUGCAAAAGUGUAAAAACGCAUAAGCUGCCUUUCCAAGGAAAACUACUUUGAAAAUGUUAACGUGUUUUAUAUUUCUCAAAGAUUCGUCAUGCUGUUUUGUUGUCAUUAAGGCCUGGUGAUUCUCGAUUUGAGUCGGGUGCUCCUCCCUCACCGCUUUUGCCUCGUAAUGUGCCGUUUUUAGCCCAGUUCACCCCGGUUCAGUCUAAUCCAACUCCCUUAGUGUCCCUGAACUGUUAUUGUAAUUCCUUCUUCAAUACAGCAGAGGGCAAUAUAAUACAGAGGAGACACUGGCCUACACAAGUUGCCAUUACUUUGCUGCGUAGUUUGAUUUGAACAGCCAUACGAAGUAACAGGCCCCAUAUCUCAUUUUCUGAUCGAAGGGUUUUGUCUAGCUUUGUGUGUUCUUUGCAUCUCUAUCCCUGUGCAUUUUUACAACAAAUGAAAAUCAAAACACAUUCAUAAUUUGAUAAAAAAUCAUUGCUGACUUUUUGGUGGUAUGAUUACUGGC
rnacentral:lncRNA from 1 species